rfam:Yersinia ruckeri ATCC 29473 contig00399, whole genome shotgun sequence.
CCCCGUCUUGUGUUGAACAACACAAGACGGGGACUCAUUCCGUCUGCAACGAGGGUUCGCUCGUG